rnacentral:rRNA from 1 species
UACGUAGGGUGCAAGCGUUGUCCGGAAUUACUGGGCGUAAAGCGUGCGCAGGCGGUGAUGUAAGACAGAUGUGAAAUCCCCGGGCUCAACCUGGGAACUGCAUUUGUGACUGCAUCGCUGGAGUGCGGCAGAGGGGGAUGGAAUUCCGCGUGUAGCAGUGAAAUGCGUAGAUAUGCGGAGGAACACCGAUGGCGAAGGCAAUCCCCUGGGCCUGCACUGACGCUCAUGCACGAAAGCGUGGGGAGCAAACAGG